rnacentral:tRNA from 1 species
GGAUCCAUAGAGUAGUGGUUAGCACAUCUGCUUUGCAAGCAGAAGGGCCAGGGUUCAUGCACCAGAUGGAGCCA